CAGCGCGGGGCAACCUGGCGGCGAGUGGCGAACGGGUGAGUAAUAUAUCGGAACGUACCCAAGAGUGGGGGAUAACGUAGCGAAAGUUACGCUAAUACCGCAUACGAUCUAAGGAUGAAAGCAGGGGAUCUUCGGACCUUGUGCUCCUGGAGCGGCCGAUAUCUGAUUAGCUAGUUGGUGAGGUAAAGGCUCACCAAGGCCACGAUCAGUAGCUGGUCUGAGAGGACGACCAGCCACACUGGAACUGAGACACGGUCCAGACUCCUACGGGAGGCAGCAGUGGGGAAUUUUGGACAAUGGGCGAAAGCCUGAUCCAGCAAUGCCGCGUGAGUGAAGAAGGCCUUCGGGUUGUAAAGCUCUUUUGUCAGGGAAGAAACGGUGAGGGCUAAUAUCCUUCGCUAAUGACGGUACCUGAAGAAUAAGCACCGGCUAACUACGUGCCAGCAGCCGCGGUAAUACGUAGGGUGCAAGCGUUAAUCGGAAUUACUGGGCGUAAAGCGUGCGCAGGCGGUUUUGUAAGUCUGACGUGAAAUCCCCGGGCUCAACCUGGGAAUUGCGUUGGAGACUGCAAGGCUAGAAUCUGGCAGAGGGGGGUAGAAUUCCACGUGUAGCAGUGAAAUGCGUAGAGAUGUGGAGGAAC
rnacentral:rRNA from 2 species